GCCUAAGUGGUGAAACUGGUAAACACGUUGGACUCAAAAUCCAAUGACUUCACGGUCUUGUCGGUUCAAGUCCGACCUUAGGUACCA
rnacentral:tRNA from 1 species